rnacentral:rRNA from 1 species
UUAAAUUGAAGAGUUUGAUCAUGGCUCAGAUUGAACGCUGGCGGCAGGCCUAACACAUGCAAGUCGAACGGUAACAGGAAGCAGCGUGCUGCUU